rnacentral:misc_RNA from 1 species
CCCUUUUGAUUUUGAACUGUUUGAGGUGAGUUAGGUCUGGUUUCUUAAUAAGCCGGAGUAUAUUUUACCAUAAUUUAUUUUUCUUUUUCUUUUUAACUUUUUUAUGCAUAGUCAAGUCAAAUAAUGGAGUAAUUUUCAUGUUCCAUUGACAGGUAAUCUUUGAUUUUCUUUUCUUGGCACUUCUGGCUGUUGGAGGUUCAUUGGCUAGUUCAUUCUUGUGCUUCUCAAAUGUACUUCUUUGUUCUACUUAGCGUUUAUCAACUAGUUGUAUGUAGUCAUAUAGAAUUGGGAUUUACAUUAAUUAAUAACCAUGGUAUCCAAAGAAUUGAAGAAGUUG